CAGGAACGGAAGAAAAGAAAGAAGGGGGAGGAGAAAAAAGAAGAAAGAAAGGCAAAAGAGAGAGAAAAGAGAGUUUUAAACUGUACUUUCAUGAAGGAUCACCCAGUUUUAGGUAGGAAUUUAGAGUUCUGUGAGAAAUGAGAAGUUCUUGUGAGAGAAAUCAAUAGUCUUGUUCGAAGAGAGAAAGUAGAAUUCAAGAAAAAAAA
rnacentral:misc_RNA from 1 species